rnacentral:misc_RNA from 1 species
GAAAUGCGAUAAUUAAUGUGAAUUGCAGAAUUCAGUGAGUCAUCGAGUCUUUGAACGCACAUUGUGCCCCCUGGUAUUCCGGGGGGCAUGCCUGUCCGAGCGUCAUUGCUGCCCUCAAGCACGGCUUGUGUGUUGGGCUUCCGUCCCUGGCAACGGGGACGGGCCCAAAAGGCAGUGGCGGCACCAUGUCUGGUCCUCGAGCGUAUGGGGCUUUGUCACCCGCUCCCGUAGGUCCAGCUGGCAGCUAGCCUCGCAACCAAUCUUUUUAACCAGGUUGACCUCGGAUCAGGUAGGGAUACCCGCUGAACUUAAGC